rnacentral:misc_RNA from 1 species
CUCAAAAUGAAAUAAAAAAACUUCCGAAAUUAGUUUGAGAAAAUGGUUGUCUAAUUAAAUUUUCAUUCCUUAAAAUAUAUUUAUUUAUAACUCUUUGCAAAUACAAGCCGCGGAAAGAAACGGGCGAUAAGUUGUUUUUACAUUUAUGCAUAAAACAAAGAAAGUUAAAAACAUUUAGCUCCUAUAUAUUGAGCUUUCAAUUAAAUUAAAAUAAAAGAUUAGAGCAAGGAAUUAAAGGACUAGAACAAGAUUUGAUGGCAGAACCGUGAAAGAUAUUCUGGAUACCGGAUGUUCAAGGACAAAUUUCAAAAAAUAGUGGCUGAGAAACGGGUUGAGUUGUCGAAUAACUUAAAGAUGACAACGUUUGGCGUUCUUCAACUUCAAUAAUGUGUAGGAUCAGCAACCGUUGUCCUUGAAAUCAAUGGAGUUCGUGCUCAAGAACAAGUUCUGGUUUCAAGUUUUCGACCCAUGGGAACAGACGUGAUGCUUGGAAUGAAUUCGAUACGAUUACUAGGAGGAAUCACAAUCCUUUUGUCGGGGGAUGCGCGUUUUGGCACUGUGUGUGCGGCAGCAAAAGUUGAUCGUGAAUCACACUUUGAAAUUAAGAAACAGGACCAUGAAGCAAGUUUUGAUGGAAUGAAGUGGAAAUUGAAAUGAGUAUGGUGAGGUAGAAAAAAUCCCAACCUACCUCCAAAUGCGGUACAUAAGUACGCAGUUCCAGCAGACGUUAAGCAAGAGUGCGAGAAUGAGUUACAAGAAUGGAUAAGACAAGGGUGGUUAUUGAAGUAUAAUGAACGUACGAUGGGGCCGGUAAAGGGUCAGCUUUCACUGAUGGCAGUGGUACAACAAAACAAAAGUAAAGUCCGACCGGUAUUAGAUUGGAGAUAAACUAAUAAGUUCAUUGAAACAUUCACAAGAGAUUUAGACGUCUCUGCUGAGAAAUUGAGACAGUGGAGACAAACGGGCAACAGAAUUGCAAUCAUCGACCUGCGUGAAGCAUAUCUCCAGCUGAAAGCAGAUAAAUUAUUUUGACUGUAUCAAACGGUGAUGUUUCAGAAUAAAGGGUGCUGUCUGACAAGGCUUGGUUUCGGACUUGAUGUGGCACCAAUGAUUAUGAAGUUUGUGAUGAAUGCCAUUGUUGAACAAGACGAGAAGGUGAAGAAAAGGAUAUCAACAUACGUGGACGACAUUUGGAAGCACUUUUUCAAGUACGGUCUAAAAAGUAAAGAUGGUGAGAAAAUUGAUGAAGAGGGUUGGUGAGAAACUGAUGUGGUUAAGAGGAAAUCAAUAUGAGGAGAUAAAUAACAUUCCUGAGAAAAUAUCAAGAAGGACGAUGUUUUCUAUUUGUAGACAUUUGGUGAGCCACAUACCGGUGUGCGGUUGGUUGCGUGUUGCCUGCGGUCUUGUGGAACGAAAAGUGGUUUUUUUGACAACUGGAUGGAAUGACGAGAUCCACAAUGAAGGAGUACGACGUGUGUUUGGAGGAGAUGCUGAAGAAGAUUGAAACAAGUAACACUGCUCGUGGAGAAUGGGAAGUGCGCGGCAAAGAUAGUAGAGUUUGGGUUGACGUCAGUUCCUGAACCUCGGAAGCUCUUGUUAAAUCUCAACAAACUGCAAUUGCUCACAGAUUCUGUAGAUUUCUAUUUCUUUAAUUGGGAAAUCCAAGUCAAAUGCGUCGAGUGAAAUGCUGAUACGACGAAGAGCAAACGUGUUUCGGGAGUUAGUUGACGAUUAUAAUUAGGAGGUCGACGUAAAAAUUAAUUUCAUCGAAAGACAAUGUAACUGAUUUGCUAAGGAGAGUAUCCAGUCGGUGGAUGAGAAUGUUGAAACUCGAAAGCACAAUAAAUAUUGCUUGAAUUGCCGUGUAUAAUAAAAAAUCAAUAAUGAAAACACCCAAACGGAGAGAAUGGUAGAAGUGGAAAUUGAAGUUGACGAUAGUAAAGUAAGAAACAACAAAGACGUAUUUUAAAAAACUGUUGGAAUGUGGAGUCAGAUACAGAAACAGGUAGUAUUCGACAUCCACAACAAUGUGGCAUCCUUACGUCAAAGCGAUCGAGAACGACGAUUACCUCUUAAACUUUCCGAAGAUUCCUGUCAUUGGAAAAUGUGAUUCUGCAAGAUCAAGGAGAAGUGCGAUCUUAGCGCGUCCAAAGCGCUAGAAACUUCAAGCGUGCCACGUGAUCAAAACGUUAGACCAAUGGAAAUUAUUUGUUCAUUUGAAGAAAUUUCGUGGGUUUAAUGGAAGAGGGUUUAAUUAAAGAUAUUUCGUGGGUUUAAUGGAAAUAAAUGUGAUAAGUAUUUAAAGAAGAGAAAAAAUUUUGUACGCAGUUUUUUUAGUUCUUGAAUUUGAGAAUAAUGAGUUUGUUCAGAUAGAAACAAGGCCGGAGUAAUGGUCUUGAGGGCUGGAAGCCAAAAAAUAUUUUAGGCCCAUUCCUAAAAAAGUGUAUUUAAAAAUGAAUGCAAAAAACAUAAGAUUACUUUUUUAUUUAAACAAAAACUUUUCUUGCUUUCACAUAUGCAAUAUCGAAUACGAUAUCUUGAAAAUUUAUAUUUUUUAACAGUGUUCUUUCAAUUGUCAUUAAACAAAGAGCAUUUAAACGAUCAUUUAGCAUUGAGGAACGGAGAUCAUUCUUAACUAUUGCCAUUUUUCGAAAAUGCUGUCUCUGCACUACAAUUAGUAAUGGAAAGAGUAAGAAAAAUCCGAUAUGCAAUGUCAACAUUCGGAAAAACUGAUUCUAACUUAUUCUUACGAAUUUCUUGUAAACAUUCAAGUGCUGAUAUAUUCUUCUCAUUUGCCAUGAACUUAGAAAACUGGAUAAUUUCAUCAGGGAAUUGCGUAUCUAAGUCUGAAGAAUAAAUAGUGCACAAAGAUUUAGCAGCAGCAACAAUGACAGGAACGGUCAUGAUUUGAAAACUAGUUAGAAAACCAAACUUUCUCAAAGCAGACUAGUAAUCAAAAAGUCUUUCUUUUAAGCACAUUUUCAACUUGUCUAUGAUUGGGAAAAAAAACUUGAUUUUAAAUUUUUCACUGCCACUAAGUACCACUUCAUUCUCGCUACUUUCACUAAACCCUAAUUUGCACAUCUUCUUUCUUUUAUUUUCAUGCUUGUACUGAUUAGGAAUAUUGCUUAAGAACCUUUUAGCACUUUCUUGAAUGUCGAGAAAAUUUUUACGAACUGAUGUCACAUAUUCCAAAAGAGGUUUAAGCAAUCGAACACCAAGAGCCAGGGAGCAGAUUCACCAAAGAUUUUUUGCGUAAGUUUGGCGUAAGUUCAAAACUUUGAAAUGCGUAAUCUUCGUGAAUAAAAUAAAAAAACUUUUAACAGUGCUAUUUAAUUUUAGUGAAAAUGGAUAUUCCAAUCAAUCUAGCCCAACAAGGUGAUGAUCAAAUAUGGCGUGAAGCUCAGCGUGUUUCUUUAACUGAUUACUCAGAUGUUGAAUGUCUAAAAAAAUUUCGUUUGCCAAAAACUAAUAUAUAAGAAAUUGUCAACACUCUUCGCAAAAAUUUAUCACCCAUUACAUUAAGAAGUAACCCGAUUUCUCUAGAAGCAAAGGUGUUGAUUUCUUUGAGAAUUUUAUCAACUGAGUGUUUCAAAAGUGAUGUUGGUAACACUUCUAAUGUAAGUCAGUCAAGCUGCAGUCGCAUAAUUUACCAAUUUUUCAAGUUUUUCAUUCAGCAUUAUUUUCACCUGGUAAAAUGGUAUGAUAAUCAAGAGGAGAUGGAUGAAACCAAAAAAAAGUACUUUCAAUUAUCUGGAGUUAAAGGUCUUUUUGGAAUAAUAGAUGGCACAAUGAUACAAACCAAAGGAGUGUCUGGGGCUGACGAGCCAGCAUUUAUUUGCAAAAAAGGAUAUCCUGCUUUAAACUGUCAAGUGGUUGUAGACUACGAUGGAACGUUUAGAGAUGCUGUAGUCAAGUAUCCGGGAUCGUGUCAUGAUGCCUUUAUUUAUUCUAACUCUAUGCUAAAACAGACAUUAGAGUAUGAUCCUAAUGCUCAUAAAUGCAUUAAUGUAUCAUAA